rnacentral:lncRNA from 1 species
GAAUUGUGUCGCAGACGAAUUAGCUAACUGGAGCUAUAACAUGGGUCUUGGCGUGUGUUAUUUUGAUUUUGCUCCAAGUUGGAUAGGUUCUUUAAUUAUUGACGACUUGAUUGGGGUGUCUCGUUCCCGUCUUAUUUGUGUUGAUUUGUUGUAGUUCUGGUGCUUGAGAUUUUCUCCCCCAAGUUGGACCCAAAAAAAAAAAAAAAAAUUUAUCUAAAGAUUUACCAAAUGAAUUGUUGAUAUUCAUUUGGAAGAAUUAGCAAAAACUGAAAAUGAAUUGAAAUUUUUUGAUACAAAAAUGAGAGAAUUUUUUAAUGAGUGCU